GGAGAGGUGCUCGAGUGGUUGAAGAGGCACGCCUGGAAAGCGUGUAUACCGGAGACGGUAUCGCGGGUUCGAAUCCCGCUCUCUCCG
rnacentral:tRNA from 1 species